AUUCGCCCUUAGAGUUUGAUCCUGGCUCAGGACGAACGCUGGCGGCGCGCCUAACACAUGCAAGUCGAACGGAGCUUGAAGAGCUUGCUUUUUAAGCUUAGUGGCGAACGGGUGAGUAACGCGUGAGUAACCUGCCCUAGAGUGGGGGACAACAGUUGGAAACGACUGCUAAUACCGCAUAAGCCCACGGAUCCGCAUGGAUCUGCGGGAAAAGGAUUUAUUCGCUUUAGGAUGGACUCGCGUCCAAUUAGCUAGUUGGUGAGGUAACGGCCCACCAAGGCGACGAUUGGUAGCCGGACUGAGAGGUUGAACGGCCACAUUGGGACUGAGACACGGCCCAAACUCCUACGGGAGGCAGCAGUGGGGGAUAUUGCACAAUGGGGGAAACCCUGAUGCAGCGACGCCGCGUGGAGGAAGAAGGUUUUCGGAUUGUAAACUCCUGUCGUUAGGGACAAUAAUGACGGUACCUAACAAGAAAGCACCGGCUAACUACGUGCCAGCAGCCGCGGUAAAACGUAGGGUGCAAGCGUUGUCCGGAAUUACUGGGUGUAAAGGGAGCGCAGGCGGACCGACAAGUUGGGAGUGAAAUCCAUGGGCUCAACCCGUGAAUUGCUUUCAAAACUGCUGGCCUUGAGUAGUGCAGAGGUAGGUGGAAUUCCGCGGUGUAGCGGUGGAAUGCGUAAAUAUCGGAGAGGAACACCAGUGGCGAAGGGGACCUUUGGGGCACCAACUGACGCUGAGGGCUCGAAAGCAGGGGUAGCAAACAGGAUUAGAUACCCUGGUAUUCCACGCCGUAAACGAUGAUGGCUAACCGCGGGCGACACACUGUCGGUGGCCAAGCGAAAGCGAUAAGCCAUCCAUCCGGGGAGGAAGUCGGCAACGAUGAAACUCAAAGGAAUUGACGGGGGCCCGCACAAGCGGAGGAACAUGUGGUUUAAUUUGAUGAUACGCGAGGAACCUUACCCGGGCUCGUACGGCACCUGAAUCGCCCAGAGAUGGGCGAGUCUUUGGACAGGUGUAGAGGUGAUGCAUGGUUGUCGUCAGCUCGUGCCGUGAGGUGUCGGCUCAAGGUGCCAUAACGAGCGCAACCCUUGCCGCCAGUUGCCAUCAGGUGAUGCUGGGCAUUCUGGCGGGACUGCCACCGCAAGGUGUGAGGAGGGGGGGGAGGACGUCAAAUCAGCACGGCCCUUACGUCCGGGGCGACACACGUGUUACAAUGGCGGCCACAGAGGGAUGCUACCCCGCGAGGGGAUGCGGAUCUCGAAAAGCCGUCCCAGUUUGGACUGGAGUGUGCAACCCGACUCCAAGAAGUUGGAUUCGGUAGUAAUCGGGCAUCAGCCAUGGCGCGGUGAAUACGUUCCCGGGCCUUGCACUCACAACGCGUCA
rnacentral:rRNA from 1 species